rnacentral:rRNA from 1 species
GACGAACGCUGGCGGCGUGCCUAAUACAUGCAAGUAGAACGCUGAAGAGAGGAGCUUACUCUUCUUGGAUGAGUUGCGAACGGGUGAGUAACGCGUAGGUAACCUGCCUUGAAGCGGGGGAUAACUAUUGGAAACGAUAGCUAAUACCGCAUAACAAUGGAUGACACAUGUCAUUUAUUUGAAAGGGGCAAUUGCUCCACUACAAGAUGGACCUGCGUUGUAUUAGCUAGUAGGUGAGGUAAUGGCUCACCUAGGCGACGAUACAUAGCCGACCUGAGAGGGUGAUCGGCCACACUGGGACUGAGACACAGCCCAGACUCCUACGGGAGGCAGCGGUAGGGAAUCUUCGGCAAUGGGGGCAACCCUGACCGAGCAACGCCGCGUGAGUGAAGAAGGUUUUCGGAUCGUAAAGCUCUGUUGUAAGUCAAGAACGGGUGUGAGAGUGGAAAGUUCACACUGUGACGGUAGCUUACCAGAAAGGGACGGCUAACUACGUG